UACGUAGGGGGCAAGCGUUAUCCGGAUUUAUUGGGUUUAAAGGGUGCGUAGGCGGGAUGCCAAGUCAGCGGUCAAAUAAGGGGGCUCAACCUGCGUCCGCCGUUGAAACUGGCAAUCUCGAGUUGGAGAGAAGUAUGCGGAAUGCGCGGUGUAGCGGUGAAAUGCAUAGAUAUCGCGCAGAACUCCGAUUGCGAAGGCAGCAUGCCGGCUCCACACUGACGCUGAGGCACGAAAGCGUGGGUAUCGAACAGG
rnacentral:rRNA from 1 species